UACGUAGGGGGCUAGCGUUGUCCGGAAUCAUUGGGCGUAAAGCGCGUGCAGGCGGUCCGGUAAGUCCGCUGUGAAAGUCGGGGGCUCAACCCUCGGAUGCCGGUGGAUACUGUCGGGCUUGAGUACGGAAGAGGCGAGUGGAAUUCCUGGUGUAGCGGUGAAAUGCGUAGAGAUCGGGAGGAACAUCAGUUGCGAAGGCGGCUCUCUGGACCAACACUGACACUGAGGCACGAAAGCGUGGGGAGCAAACAGG
rnacentral:rRNA from 1 species